rnacentral:rRNA from 1 species
CGCCAGUAUUCCAGCUCCAAUAGCGUAUAUUAAAGUUGUUGCAGUUAAAAAGCUCGUAGUUGAAUUUCUGGCUGGAAGGGAGCGGUCCCGCAUCUUUGCGGGUACUUGCUCGUCUUCUGCCAUCCUUGGGCUUAGUCUCGCUGAUAUUAACUUAUCGGCGUGUACGAUGCCCAUCGUUUACUGUGAGCAAAUUAGAGUGUUCAAAGCAGGCUUAUGCCGUUGAAUAUAUUAGCAUGGAAUAAUAAGAUAGGACCUAGUGACUAUUUUGUUGGUUUGCGUUAUUAGGUAAUGAUUAAGAGGGACAGUUGUGGGUAUUCGUAUUCAGGUGUAAGAGGUGAAAUUCUUAGAUUAUCGGAAGACGAACGACUGCGAAAGCAUUUACCAA